AGAAUCAACGCUGGCGGCGUGCCUAACACAUGCAAGUCGCACGAGAAAGGGACUUCGGUCCUGAGUAAAGUGGCGCACGGGUGAGUAACACGUGACUAAUCUACCCUCGAGUGGGGAAUAACCUAGGGAAACCUGGGCUAAUACCGCAUAACACUUACGAGUCAAAGCAGCAAUGCGCUUGGGGAGGAGGUCGCGGCAGAUUAGCUAGUUGGUGGGGUAAUGGCCCACCAAGGCGAUGAUCUGUAUCCGGCCUGAGAGGGCGCACGGACACACUGGAACUGAAACACGGUCCAGACUCCUACGGGAGGCAGCAGUGGGAAUUUUGCGCAAUGGGGGAAACCCUGACGCAGCAACGCCGCGUGGAGGAGUGAAGUCUCGUUGGGACGUAAACUCCUUUCGACAGGGACGAUAAGUGACGGUACCUGUAGAAGAAGCCCGGCUAACUCGUGCCAGCAGCCGC
rnacentral:rRNA from 1 species